CGUAGGGUGCGAGCGUUAAUCGGAAUUACUGGGCGUAAAGCGUGCGCAGGCGGUUUGUAAGCCAGAUGUGAAAGCCCCGGGCUCAACCUGGGAAUGGCAUUUGGGACUGCAAGGCUUGAGUGCGGCAGAGGAGACUGGAAUUCCUGGUGUAGCAGUGAAAUGCGUAGAUAUCAGGAGGAAUACCGAUGGCGAAGGCAGGUCUCUGGGCUGACACUGACGCUCAUGCACGAAAGCGUGGGGAGCAAACAGGAUUAGAUACCCUGGUAGUCCACGCCCUAAACGAUGUCGACUGGUUGUUGGGGGUUUGACACUCUCAGUAACGAAGCUAACGCGUGAAGUUGACCGCCUGGGGAGUACGGCCGCAAGGUUG
rnacentral:rRNA from 1 species